rnacentral:lncRNA from 1 species
CAUUAAGAGAGCUAAACCAAACACCAUAUCCCCUAAACUAUUCAAGCUAUCAUGGUGUAAUACAUACAGCCUUGAAACCCUGCCAGCAAUGAAGAAACAGCUCCCAGUUCCACUGCCAAGUAGUCCUUCGAAUAAAACAGACUACACAACUAUUUGCCAAUUCGAAUGAAUACCGGAGUUACAAACAACAUACUAGCAAAGGUUUGCUGAGAAAGGAGUCGAGCUCUACGCAACAUUCAACACAUCCGGCAAGGCGUCGGGAGCACCACCACUUUGACCAUUGAGAACAAUAACAUUCCCAUCAGAAUCAACAUCUAUAAUAACAGAAUCACCUUCUUUGAUCUCUGCUGAAAGCAUUUUCUCAGCCAUGCUGUCCUCGAGAAGCCUCAUUAUAGCUCUUCUCAAAGGCCUUGCACCAUAGGCUGGGUUAUACCCUUCAUCUACCACCCUAUCUCUAAAUCUCUCUGUCACUUGAAGCUCUAUUUCCUUGGCCUUCAACCUCUCAAAGACCUCCUUCAACAUUAUAUCAGCAAUAUCCUUGACCUCCAGCUUGGUAAGUUGACGGAAAACAAUCAUCUCAUCCAAUCUAUUUAAGAAUUCCGGCCUAAAAUACUGCUUUAACUCCUCUGUCACCAGGCUCUUAAUCCGAUUGUAACUGCUAUCCUUCUCAUCAUAAUCAAGAUCAAAUCCAAUCUUGCGUCCUCCCUUCUCAAUAACACUGCUACCAACAUUUGAAGUCAUUAUCAGGAGGGUGUUUUUGAAGUCUACAGUCCUGCCCUUGCUGUCUGUCAACCUUCCAUCUUCAAGAAUUUGAAGCAUAAUGUUAAAGACAUCAGGAUGGGCCUUCUCAAUCUCAUCAAAGAGUACCACAGUGUAAGGGCGACGCCUAACAGCCUCCGUCAACUGACCACCCUCAGUGUAACCAACAUAACCAGGAGGCGAACCAAUCAGCUUAGCAACAGUGUGUCUUUCCAUGUACUCACUCAUAUCAAGACGGAUCAUGGCUUCUUCAGAGCCAAAGUAAUAGGCAGCUAGUGCUUUUGCCAAUUCUGACUUCCCGACACCAGUUGGACCAGAAAAUAUGAAGCUAGCAAUUGGUCGAUUGGGAUUCUUGAGUCCAACACGAGCUCGGCGGAUGGCACGGCUGAUUGCCUUGACAGCUUCAUCCUGGCCAACGACUCGCUUGUGAAGGGUAUCUUCCAUCUUUAGGAGACGGUCAGAUUCGUCUGUGGAUACUUUCUCUACUGGAAUUCCAGUCCAAGAAGAAACAAUGUGCUGAAUGUCUGAUUCAGUGACAGUGGGACCUACAUCCCCUGCCUCUGUCUCAGCUUUGCUCAUCUCUUUGCCUUUCUCCACAAUAGCUGCAAUCUGUGCUCUAAGGUCCAUUUCUCUGUCUCGCAAUUCCCCAGCCUGUUUAAGAUUACCAAUGAAGUGAGUUAGCUCAACAAAUUGAGAAAAAAGAUCAACAUUAAGAAACAAAAGACACAAGCAAUUGGUGGUCUUAUAGUCUCACAGGCUGUGGCACCUCUUCUGAAACAACUUUUUCACUGUUCAAUAAUUAGACAACUAAAAAAUUUGAAAUCGUAACACAAUAUUUUGGAAGUUCAUUAAAAUGUCUGAUCUCAUGGAAACAAGCAGGGUAGUCCUAGAAAACCCAAUUAGACAAUUGGAAAGCACAAAGAAAGAAGCAAUUUGUACCUUUUCAAAGUCUUGGCCACGGACAGCUUCAUCCUUUUCCUUUGUGAUUUGUCUGACCUCUUUCUCAAGCUCUCUUGCUUCCUCGGGGACCUAAACGAAUAAAGUGAGGGGAAAAGGACAGAAUAUUGAAGGAUGAUGAUGGAGUAACUGGAUACAAGACUGUACCUGUGCAUGACGAAGCCGAACCCGAGAACCAGCUUCAUCAAUCAAAUCAAUUGCCUUAUCAGGCAGAAAACGGUCACUGAAACGAAUGCAAGAAAAAAAUAUCAAGGGAGGGACAGCUUAUAAAGGACUGUAAUUAUAGAGAGGGAGUAGAUCUUUUGAAGGACUACUUAUACCAGACAGACAUGGAAAAAAUGAAAAAAAAAAAACUUCUAUAGAAAGGUACUUCAUAGAAUUACAACAGAAACUCAUAGGAAAAAAUUGUGAAUUUGGGAGCAUCUGAUACAAUUAAAGCCAAGUGGAGUAAAGCUUCUGAAAUGGUCCAAGUACAUUUCUGGUGUAUUGUGGAGGGUACAGCAGGAAGGAAAGAAAAACAGUAGGGAAAAACUUAUUAUGCACAGAUCAAAAAUAUCAGCUCCAACAGAGACUGUCUGCAAGGUAGUCAAAUGGCAUCAAUAACUAUUGCAAUUUGAAAUGCUACCACUAGCUCUGCCAAGAUGCAUGUAAAAUGCACCCCUACAGGGAAUGAUAUCCCGGGUAUUUUCAUCUCUUUCCAUUUAUAAUCUUGGGUAGCCCAUCAUAUGGUAUCUCACGUUUCAAGUAAGCUUCAAGGUUUGCUCAAAAGACCUAACAAUGGACUUCAGAAAUACAUUACUUGUUUUCUUAAGAUAUACAAACAAUGACUUUUCUCCUCUAUAAAUAAGCAUUUGUGAAGCAAAAAGUGUGACAAAUGCCGCAGAUAUGUGAAAUUAUAGAACAGAAAUGUGAACUAGAAAAAAAAGAGUCUAUUUAUGGCUCACUUACCUGAUGUACUGGUAUGACAACUGAGCAGCAGCUACUAAGGACUCAUCUGUGUAACGGAGCUUGUGGUGGAUCUCAUAUCGCUCACGAAGUCCUUUCAAAAUCUGUAUCGUUU